rnacentral:rRNA from 1 species
GUAGGUGGCAAGCGUUGUCCGGAAUUAUUGGGCGUAAAGCGCGCGCAGGCGGUCCUUUAAGUCUGAUGUGAAAGCCCACGGCUCAACCGUGGAGGGUCAUUGGAAACUGGGGGACUUGAGUACAGAAGAGGAAAGCGGAAUUCCAAGUGUAGCGGUGAAAUGCGUAGAGAUUUGGAGGAACACCAGUGGCGAAGGCGGCUUUCUGGUCUGUAACUGACGCUGAGGCGCGAAAGCGUGGGGAGCAAACAGGAUUAGAUACCCUGGUAGUCCACGCCGUAAACGAUGAGUGCUAAGUGUUAGGGGGUUUCCGCCCCCUUAGUGCUGCAGCUAACGCAUUAAGCACUCCGCCUGGGGAGUACGCCGCAAGGCUG